rnacentral:rRNA from 1 species
CCUACGGGUGGCAGCAGUGGGGAAUAUUGCACAAUGGGCGCAAGCCUGAUGCAGCCAUGCCGCGUGUGUGAAGAAGGCCUUCGGGUUGUAAAGCACUUUCAGCGGGGAGGAAGGCGUUAAGGUUAAUAACCUUGGCGAUUGACGUUACCCGCAGAAGAAGCACCGGCUAACUCCGUGCCAGCAGCCGCGGUAAUACGGAGGGUGCAAGCGUUAAUCGGAAUUACUGGGCGUAAAGCGCACGCAGGCGGUCUGUCAAGUCGGAUGUGAAAUCCCCGGGCUCAACCUGGGAACUGCAUUCGAAACUGGCAGGCUAGAGUCUUGUAGAGGGGGGUAGAAUUCCAGGUGUAGCGGUGAAAUGCGUAGAGAUCUGGAGGAAUACCGGUGGCGAAGGCGGCCCCCUGGACAAAGAUUGACGCUCAGGUGCGAAAGCGUGGGGAGCAAACAGGAUUAGAUACCCCUGUAGUC